UGUGCAGAGACCUAUUCCUAUUUUGAAGCAUAUAUCCACACUGCUGAAUCGUCAUCGAAAUAUUUUCCUUUGAUUACUUUCAUCUGGUGUUUAGCGCGAAUGUUAAAGUCUUAAUUUUUCGUUUCUAAUUUUUUUCUUCUUUUUAAGAAGGAAUCAGGAAAAAUUCAUUAUGGCUGAAAGAUUGAAAGACUUUAGGGGACGAUACAAUCAACUGUGCUCUGAAGGACAAAUUUGUCCACUUAAAAGUGUUGGCAAGAAAUUGAAAGGAAAUGAAUUUUGUACAGCUGUGGAAGCAAUACGUUAUGAACACUGGGAAUAUGUGCUGAAAGCUCUAAGUAUUGACAAUAGUUUAACUAAAGUACAGUUUGUAUCGGUUUUAACACCAGCAGAUUAUGCAAUGGUUAAUGGUAAG